UUUGUUACUUCAAACCAAUCGGACUUCGGUCUGACAUCAAGUGAUAUUGAACAAUUUAGCUGAUCGCACGGUCUAAGAACCGGCGACAUAUCCUUCAAAUGUCUGCCUUAUCAACUUUCGAUGGUAGAUUAUGCGCCUACCAUGGUUGUAACGGGUAACGGAGAAUCAGGGUUUGAUUCCGGAGAGGGAGCCUGAGAAACGGCUACCACAUCCAAGGAAGGCAGCAGGCACGCAAAUUACCCACUCCCGGCACGGGGAGGUAGUGACGAAAGAUAACAAGCUGGUCUCAAUGAGUUCCAGCAUUGUAAUGGGAACAAUUUAAAUCUUUUAUCGAGGAUCUAUUGGAGGGCAAGUCUGGUGCCAGCAGCCGCGGUAAUUCCAGCUCCAAUAGCGUAUAUUAAAGUUGUUGCGGUUAAAAAGCUCGUAGUUGGAUCUAGGAUUAGGGCUACGGUCGUUCAGCUUGGACGUACUGUAUGCCCGACUCCUUUUCUCUAGUAUUCGAUUGUUGCUCUUAAAUGAGUGACUUUAGUUGCUGGAACUUUUACCUUGAAAAAAUUGAAGUGCUCAAAGCAGGUU
rnacentral:rRNA from 1 species